AGAUCUGGAGAGCUAAACCCCAAAUCUCCUAUCCUCCUCUCUUCUUAGCACCGGAGCUCUGCGCCGCCACAUACGCCGCCGCACGCGUCGUUUCCGGCGUUUGAAAAAUUAUGUUGGAGCCUUCGCAAGUGUGGUGUCACUACCUCAAGCUAUGAUGCAGACAGGUGGUUUUGAAUAUUUUAAGGAAAAUUUCCCUACUAUCUUGAUUGAAAUCUUGGCGUAUGUGGCUAGAGUUAGUGAACACUCUGUCAUCCAAUGCCAGCAUGGAAAUGAAGCCUAAAAAUCAUUUAUUUUGGAGAACAAUUGAAUCAGCAAAAGUCACUUCCUAGAUUUGGUUUUCUAUUUAAAUAACUGUGGAGGGGAUAAAGCCCUGAAAUGAGGAAAUUUUAUAUUUGAACUUUCUCUACUUCUUGCU